CCUUCUUACGAAGGUAUGCUUAAAGAGGGGCUUGCGCCACAUUAGUUAGUUGGUAGAGUAAAAGCCUACCAAGACGAUGAUGUGUAGCUGGACUGAGAGGUUGAACAGCCACAUUGGGACUGAGACACGGCCCAAACUCCUACGGGAGGCAGCAGUAGGGAAUUUUCGGCAAUGGAGGAAACUCUGACCGAGCAACGCCGCGUGAACGAUGAAGUAUUUCGGUAUGUAAAGUUCUUUUAUUGAAGAAGAAAAAGUAGUGGAAAAACUAUAUUGACGUUAUUCAAUGAAUAAGCCCCGGCUAACUAUGUGCCAGCAGCCGCGGUAAGACAUAGGGGGCGAGCGUUAUCCGGAAUUAUUGGGCGUAAAGGGUGCGUAGGCUGUUAGAUAAGUCUAUAAUUUAAUUUCAGUGCUUAACGCUGUCUUGUUAUAGAAACUGUCUUGACUAGAGUGAGAUAGAGGCAAGCGGAAUUCCAUGUGUAGCGGUAAAAUGUUAUAGAAACUGUCUUGACUAGAGUGAGAUAGAGGCAAGCGGAAUUCCAUGUGUAGCGGUAAAAUGUGUAAAUAUAUGGAGGAACACCAGAAGCGUAGGCGGCUUGCUGGGUCUUUACUGACGCUGAGGCACGAAAGCGUGGGUAGCAAACAGGAUUAGAUACCCUGGUAGUCCACGCCGUAAACGAUGAGUACUAAGUGUCGGGGUAAAACUCGGUACUGAAGUUAACACAUUAAGUACUCCGCCUGAGUAGUACGUACGCAAGUAUGAAACUUAAAGGAAUUGACGGGACUCCGCACAAGCGGUGGAUCAUGUUGUUUAAUUCGAAGAUACACGAAAAAUCUUACCAGGUCUUGACAUACUCUGCAAAGCUAUAGAAAUAUAGUGGAGGUUAUCAGGGAUACAGGUGGUGCAUGGUUGUCGUCAGUUCGUGUCGUGAGAUGUUAGGUUAAGUCCUAAAACGAACGCAACCCUUGUCGUUAAUUGCCAGCACAUAAUGGUGGGGACUUUAACGAGACUGCCAAUUAAACAUUGGAGGAAGGUGAGGAUUACGUCAAAUCAUCAUGCCCCUUAUGAUCUGGGCUACAAACGUGAUACAAUGGCUGUGACAAAGAGUAG
rnacentral:rRNA from 1 species